CAUGCAAGUUCGAGCGAACUGAUUAGAAGCUUGCUUYUAUGACGUUAGCGGCGGACGGGUGAGUAACACGUGGGCAACCUGCCUGUAAGACUGGGAUAACUUCGGGAAACCGAAGCUAAUACCGGAUAGGAUCUUCUCCUUCAUGGGAGAUGAUUGAAAGAUGGUUUCGGCUAUCACUUACAGAUGGGCCCGCGGUGCAUUAGCUAGUUGGUGAGGUAACGGCUCACCAAGGCAACGAUGCAUAGCCGACCUGAGAGGGUGAUCGGCCACACUGGGACUGAGACACGGCCCAGACUCCUACGGGAGGCAGCAGUAGGGAAUCUUCCGCAAUGGACGAAAGUCUGACGGAGCAACGCCGCGUGAGUGAUGAAGGCUUUCGGGUCGUAAAACUCUGUUGUUAGGGAAGAACAAGUACAAGAGUAACUGCUYGUACCUUGACGGUACCUAACCAGAAAGCCACGGCUAACUACGUGCCAGCAGCCGCGGUAAUACGUAGGUGGCAAGCGUUAUCCGGAAUUAUUGGGCGUAAAGCGCGCGCAGGCGGUUUCUUAAGUCUGAUGUGAAAGCCCACGGCUCAACCGUGGAGGGUCAUUGGAAACUGGGGAACUUGAGUGCAGAAGAGAAAAGCGGAAUUCCACGUGUAGCGGUGAAAUSCGUAGAGAUGUGGAGGAACACCAGUGGCGAAGGCGGCUUUUUGGUCUGUAACUGACGCUGAGGCGCGAAAA
rnacentral:rRNA from 1 species